GACGAACGCUUGCGACGUGCCUAAGAAUGCAAGUCGCACGGGCAGGGGUAACCCUGUCAGUGGCGGACGGGUGAGUAACGCGUAGGUAUCUAUCCUUGGGGUGGGGACAACGGUUGGAAACGACUGCUAAUACCGCAUGAUAACUGAGGUUUAAAGGCGCAAGUCGCCUGAGGAGGAGCCUGCGUACGAUUAGCUAGUUGGUGGGGUAAAGGCCUACCAAGGCUGUGAUCGUUAGCUGGCUGAGAGGAUGAUCAGCCACAUUGGGACUGAGACACGGCCCAGACUCCUACGGGGAGGCAGCAGGU
rnacentral:rRNA from 1 species